UUGGUGGGGAUUUCACAUUUUUUACUCGCAAUCAGACAGGAGUGGGCAGUCAAAUCUGAAACUCAAAUUAACAUAAGAGCAUAUUGGACUUGGUGGGUUAAAUUAUUCAUCCCAGUUACAGUUGCUAUUUACAUGAUUUAUUUGCUUAUAUAUUGAAAAUAGAAACAAAUAAAUUAAUUAGAAAAUACUGUGGGUUAAGAGUGUCUACUGGAUCAGAUAGGAUUGAUCAGAAUUCUUUUGGACAUACUACUAAUACUCUAAUACUCUAGUACAAAUUAUACUAUUAAGACUCUAGUACCAAUUAUAUUACCAAUACUCUAGUACCAAUUAUAUUACCAAUACUCUAGUGCCAAUUAUACUACCAGUACUCCCAUGCCAAUUAUACUACAUUUAAUAAUAAUUAUACUUCAUUUGAGGAAAAACAGGAAAUUUGUUUUCUUUUCCUUGAAUCAAUCAUUUAAGGCACAGUCUAAUAAACAUUAUGAAAGUUUUGAAAAUCUGCACUGAUUGUCAUCUGUUGAAUCCUACAGAGAAAAUAAUGAAAAAUAAAAUGCACAAAGAUGCACCUUGCACACACUCUUAAUUUUAAUCUAAAACAUGCUUGAGAAUAGAUUAGCCAUAAAGUAGCCAUAAAGCUCAUUUUUACCCGACUGAGGCUUUCUGGAAGAACUAGAUGGUUCAUUUUCAACUGGUUUCUGUGUUUUGGGAUCAGACUACACAGGCAGAGUAUCAGAUGAGAAUCUAAGCAAAAAGAAAAUGAAUGAAUGAAUUUAUUAAUUCAUACAAAUGCUUUAUGCUGGUUUAUACCAUAGGUGAGGUGGGAAUGCACCCUGGACGGGACCCAAAAUUCUUUUCAGGAAAACCAGUUCAGAUGACAUUUUACUCUCCUAUUAUCACAGAGAUCAUCAUGCAGGCACACCUUUAUUUAAAAAAAAAAAAGAAAAGAAAAGCAAGAAACUGCCUCUGUUAUUUUGCAUCAAGACUAUUGUUUGACCUCCUGCUGCUAUGCUAGGUUAAGAAAGCAGCGUCAGAGCAGAACACAUCCUCCAGCUCCUGAUCUGCCCUAAUGUGUCAGCCGUCCCAAAAAUAAACCUGUGACCAGACUCCAGACACCAAACAAACAAAAGCAUUCAGAUCGAGUAAACAGCAAGCCUAGCUACUCGCGCCUUGAAGCCUCUCUCUGUCCUCCAUAUCGUAGCGAUCAGACAGUAGGGAACGGGAUCAGCCAUGACACCCAUCCUAUUGGAGCGUCUCAUGACGAUGAGCCAGACUUCGGAACAAGUUGCAACGAAACCGUUGACACAACCUUUGUGCAAACUGAGGCUCGUCCACAGCAGAUGUCUCAUGGCGGAGAUUAUAAAUAAAGCUGACGAGAGUUUGGGGGGAUGGUGGUGGCUACUGCCAGGCUGGACAGCUUUUUUGUGGUGUUUCUCAGCAUGAAUUUACGCGGGUCUCUGCUGUGUCUGGAGGUGGCCUUGCAGUUGAGGUUGUUGUCAUGACAUGAGUGUUGAGGAGAUCGGAUAGCAUGUGGAUAAUGAGACAUCCAAAAGCAGAGAAAAAAGCAGAGAAAGCUUGCACAACAGUAGAGUGUGAAGUCAUUAAGUGGUGGGCAGAUAUGAAGCUAGCUGGAUAAAGAAAGGCCACAUUCAUUAACA